CCUACGGGUCGCACCAGUGGGGAAUGAUGCACAAUGGGCGCAAGCCUGAUGCAGCCAUGCCGCGUGUGUGAAGAAGGCCUUCGGGUUGUAAAGCACUUUCAGCGGGGAGGAAGGGAGUAAAGUUAAUACCUUUGCUCAUUGACGUUACCCGCAGAAGAAGCACCGGCUAACUCCGUGCCAGCAGCCGCGGUAAUACGGAGGGUGCAAGCGUUAAUCGGAAUUACUGGGCGUAAAGCGCACGCAGGCGGUUUGUUAAGUCAGAUGUGAAAUCCCCGGGCUCAACCUGGGAACUGCAUCUGAUACUGGCAAGCUUGAGUCUCGUAGAGGGGGGUAGAAUUCCAGGUGUAGCGGUGAAAUGCGUAGAGAUCUGGAGGAAUACCGGUGGCGAAGGCGGCCCCCUGGACGAAGACUGACGCUCAGGUGCGAAAGCGUGGGGAGCAAACAGGAUUAGAUACCCGGGUAGUC
rnacentral:rRNA from 1 species